rnacentral:rRNA from 1 species
GGGCCCGCACAAGCGGCGGAGCAUGUGGCUUAAUUCGACGCAACGCGAAGAACCUUACCAAGGCUUGACAUGCAGGGAAAUCCGGCAGAGAUGUCGGUUCCCUUGUGGCCUGUGUGCAGGUGGUGCAUGGCUGUCGUCAGCUCGUGUCGUGAGAUGUUGGGUUAAGUCCCGCAACGAGCGCAACCCUCGUUCCAUGUUGCCAGCGGGUUAUGCCGGGGACUCAUAGGAGACUGCCGGGGUCAACUCGGAGGAAGGUGGGGAUGACGUCAAAUCAUCAUGCCCCUUAUGUCUUGGGCUUCACGCAUGCUACAAUGGCCGGUACAAAGGGCUGCGAUACCGUAAGGUGGAGCGAAUCCCAAAAAGCCGGUCUCAGUUCGGAUUGAGGUCUGCAACUCGACCUCAUGAAGUCGGAGUCGCUAGUAAUCGCAGA